AGAGAGAGACAUGCGCGCAUAUCAAUAAGCGGAGGAAAAGAAACUAACAAGGAUUCCCUUAGUAACGGCGAGUGAAGCGGGAAGAGCUCAAAUUUGAAAUCUUCAAGGUUUUACUCUUGACGAAUUGUAGUUUAAAGAAGUGUUUUCUGCUGAAGUUUUGGUAAAAGUUCUUUGGAAUAGGACAUCAUAGAGGGUGAGAAUCCCGUAUUUGACCAUUAUUUUCAGCUUUGUGAUACACUUUCAAAGAGUCGGAUUGUUUGGGAAUGCAGUCCAAAAUGGGUGGUAAAUUUCAUCUAAAGCUAGAUAUUGGCGAGAGACCGAUAGCGAACAAGUACCGUGAGGGAAAGAUGAAAAGAACUUUGAAAAGAGAGUUAAACAGUACGUGAAAUUGUCAAAAGGGAAGCGUUUGACACCAGUGUUGUUUUCUCGAAAAUCAAUUAAAAAUGGCUCGAUUUUGUAUUGCUUGAGACCUUAAAAGCUCACUGUACAUUUUUCGUGUCUUUUUUAAUGCACUUUUCGUUUAACAAGUCAACAUCAGUUUCUUUUGUUGUAAAAGGGUCAUUGGAAGGUGGCUUUCUUUUCGGAGAAAGUGUUUAUAGCCUUUGGCCUCUGCAAUCGGAAGAGACUGAGGUCUGCAGCGUAGACUCUUCGGGGUUAGAUACAUUUGUGCUAAGUUAUAGCUUUUUAUAGACAACUUGUUGACUAUAAUUAGUCUUGUAGCUUACUCGCUUAUGCUAUUUUACCUACGCUUAGGAUGUUGAGUCGUAGAGCACGCAG
rnacentral:rRNA from 1 species